GAGAUUCGAAACACAAAACUGGUUCAAACCGGUUUCGUUCUUAUAUUUCAGUGUAUAAACUACAAGAACAUUCGUUUGCAUUAUACAUUCGCCAUUUUCCGCUGUGCGCGCUUGGUUGGCGUCUGUUAUCGCUUCGAAAAAAGCCAUUUUCGCAGCUGUAUUUUCCUGACGUUUUUCUUCGUUUCCCGCUGAGAACAUGGGCAAAGCAAAGGCACCUGCUUCCUCUGAGCCUAAGAGAACCUCUGCACGGCUGGCAUUAAAACCGAAACCUGCGGCAGUGGAGGCUAAGAAAAAGGCUGUUGCAAAGAGGGCACCCAAAACAAAGAAAGCCAAACCCGCUGAGAAUGGGAGCACCAAGGCUGAGGAGCCCAAGGCUGAAGCCACUGAAGCCAAAUGAAUAGUGGUUGAUGUGCUCACUCUGUGUACUUGGUGAUUGUACAGUUUUAAAUAAGUAUUUUUUACCAAGUUUUAUAUUACAAAUGUCAUUUAUAGUUUUGUUUUUGGCUUGCACUUGAUGUAACAAAAUUUUGUUUUCACAUUCAUAUCCAUUUUAUAUCAAUUUUAAAAACGGAUACCGUCCAUAUCCUGUAGUCGUGGCAUUUUUUUAGUUUGUCUAAUCCAGAUUUGUUUUAAACUUCUAAACAACAGAUGUAACAGCUUUUCCAACAAGUUGGAUUUUGAAUCUAAUUGUAAACAUAAGGCAGCUAAAGCAUAAAAUCUUGCAGGAGAAUAUGAAUUUGCCGCUUAUCUCCUUGUAGUUUAAUGUUGAACUAAUAAAAUUAUUGCUUUCCAAAUGUUUUAAAAACAUUGUAUGUUGAUGUAAAAUGCCACAGACAAAAAAAAGAAUACUGUUAUUAGGUCAAAAAAAAUGUUUAAGUUUGAUGCGUCCCAAAAAAAUGGCUGAUGUGAACCCAGUCAUCUGAUAAAAACUUCUGUUAAGUUAUGUUUCUGUUUUCUGCUUUUCUGACUCCAAUGGUUGAUCUUAAUGUUCUUGAAUAAAAAUUUUCAAAAUGUC